rnacentral:rRNA from 1 species
AAAUUGAAGAGUUUGAUCAUGGCUCAGAUUGAACGCUGGCGGCAGGCCUAACACAUGCAAGUCGAGCGGCAGCGGGAAAGUAGCUUGCUACUUUUGCCGGCGAGCGGCGGACGGGUGAGUAAUGCCUGGGGAUCUGCCCAGUCGAGGGGGAUAACUACUGGAAACGGUAGCUAAUACCGCAUACGCCCUACGGGGGAAAGCAGGGGACCUUCGGGCCUUGCGCGAUUGGAUGAACCCAGGUGGGAUUAGCUAGUUGGUGAGGUAA